CAGCAGCCGCGGGAAUACAGAGGGUGCGAGCGUUAAUCAGAUUUACUGGGCGUAAAGCGUGCGUAGGCGGCUUCUUAAGUCGGAUGUGAAAUCCCUGAGCUUAACUUAGGAAUUGCAUUCGAUACUGGGAAGCUAGAGUAUGGGAGAGGAUGGUAGAAUUCCAGGUGUAGCGGUGAAAUGCGUAGAGAUCUGGAGGAAUACCGAUGGCGAAGGCAGCCAUCUGGCCUAAUACUGACGCUGAGGUACGAAAGCAUGGGGAGCAAACAGGAUUAGAUACCCGUGUAGUCCCUGUCUCUUAUAC
rnacentral:rRNA from 1 species